AACGAACGCUGGCGGCAUGCCUAACACAUGCAAGUCGAACGAGACCUUCGGGUCUAGUGGCGCACGGGUGCGUAACGCGUGGGAACCUGCCCUUAGGUUCGGAAUAGCUCCCCGAAAGGGGUGCUAAUACCGGAUAAUGUCUUCGGACCAAAGAUUUAUCGCCUUUGGAUGGGCCCGCGUUGGAUUAGCUAGUUGGUAGGGUAAAAGCCUACCAAGGCGACGAUCCAUAGCUGGUCUGAGAGGAUGAUCAGCCACACUGGGACUCAGACACGGCCCAGACUCCUACGGGAGGCAGCAGUGGGGAAUAUUGGACAAUGGGCGAAAGCCUGAUCCAGCAAUGCCGCGUGAGUGAUGAAGGCCUUAGGGUUGUAAAGCUCUUUUACCCGGGAUGAUAAUGACAGUACCGGGAGAAUAAGCUCCGGCUAACUCCGUG
rnacentral:rRNA from 1 species